rnacentral:rRNA from 1 species
UACGAAGGGGGCUAGCGUUGCUCGGAAUUACUGGGCGUAAAGGGAGCGUAGGCGGAUAGUUAAGUCAGAGGGGAAAGCCCAGGGCUCAACCUUGGAAUUGCCUUUGAUACUGGCUAUCUUGAGUAUGGGAGAGGUAAGCGGAACUCCGAGUGUAGAGGUGAAAUUCGUAGAUAUUCGGAAGAACACCAGUGGCGAAGGCGGCUUACUGGCCCAUUACUGACGCUGAGGCUCGAAAGCGUGGGGAGCAAACAGG